GAUGAACGCUGGCGGCGUGCCUAAUACAUGCAAGUCGAGCGAACGGACGAGAAGCUUGCUUUUCUGAUGUUAGCGGCGGACGGGUGAGUAACACGUGGAUAACCUACCUAUAAGACUGGGAUAACUUCGGGAAACCGGAGCUAAUACCGGAUAAUAUUUUGAACCGCAUGGUUCAAAAGUGAAAGACGGUCUUGCUGUCACUUAUAGAUGGAUCCGCGCUGCAUUAGCUAGUUGGUAAGGUAACGGCUUACCAAGGCAACGAUGCAUAGCCGACCUGAGAGGGGGAUCGGCCACACUGGAACUGAGACACGGUCCAGACUCCUACGGGAGGCAGCAGUAGGGAAUCUUCCGCAAUGGGCGAAAGCCUGACGGAGCAACGCCGCGUGAGUGAUGAAGGUCCGCGGAUCGUAAAACGCUGUUAUUAGGGAAGAACAUAUGUGUAAGUAACUGUGCACAUCUUGACGGUACCUAAGCAGAAAGCCACGGCUAACUACGG
rnacentral:rRNA from 1 species